rnacentral:rRNA from 1 species
GACGUAGGGCGCGAGCGUUGUCCGGAUUUAUUGGGCGUAAAGAGCUCGUAGGCGGCUUGUCGCGUCGACUGUGAAAACCCGCGGCUCAACUGCGGGCCUGCAGCCGAUACGGGCAGGCUAGAGUUUGGUAGGGGAGACUGGAAUUCCUGGUGUAGCGGUGAAAUGCGCAGAUAUCAGGAGGAACACCGGUGGCGAAGGCGGCAUCCUGGACCGGCAUUGACGCUGAGGCGCGAAAGCCAGGGGAGCAAACGGG